rnacentral:pre_miRNA from 1 species
AUCACCUGGGGAUCUUGUUAAAAUAUGGAUUCUGAUUCAGACACCUGAGGAAGGCCUGAGAUUCUGGAUUUUUAACAAGCUCCCAGGGGGUGCCAA